UACGUAGGGUGCGAACGUUGUCCGGAAUUAUUGGCGUAAAGAGCUCGUAGGCGGUUUGUCGCGUUCUGCCGGUGAAAGUCCGGGGCUCAACUCCGGAUCUCUGCGGUGGGUACGGGCAGACUAGAGUGAUGUAGGGGAGACUGGAAUUCCUGGUGUAGCGGUGAAAAUGCGCAGAUAUCAGGAAGGAACACCGAUGGCGAAGGCAGGUCUCCUGGGCAUUAACUGACGCUGAGGAGCGAAAGGCAUGGGGAGCGAACAGG
rnacentral:rRNA from 1 species